CACCCAAAUGCACACUCGUGCACAUGCUCAUAUGUAUGCACUUGUGCACAUGUUCACACAUGCACACACAGAUGCACACAUGCACAAGCUCUCACAUGUGCAUGUGCACACACAUUCAUGAACACAAACUCGCACUCAGGAGCUCACACUCACAUACACAUGCUUUCACACACGCAGGUGCCGAUGUUCAACGCUGGUGAUUCAAACCAGAAGAGACCUCCACGCCUGUUUGGAGGAGACACCUGGUAUUUCCUUCAUGGGAAGCAAGCGCCAAAUGGAAAAGAGUUUUGCCCUCAGCUUUGACAGACGUGCAUCCUGCCCCGUGGCUCGUCCAGCCCCAGCCCCAAGACAUUCUGGGAGCCCCGAGAACUGCACGGGGCCCGUUGGUGCAGAAACAGCACUCCUCAUCUCCCCACGCCGUCCCUCCUGCAUGUGGACAGGCUCCCGUCACCCUGGCUCCAGUUCCCAUCAGGCCUGGCAAGUCACCUGGACGCUAAUGAAGCUCCACACACAUCCACACAGUUUGAUUUGAUUUCAAUUAGUUCAGUAUUUAUCAUCCACCAAGAAAAAGCUGAUCAAACUGUCUGAGCUCUGCAGGCGUGAGUCUGAGCUGUGUCUCACUUGCCGGUAGAGGCCCGGCCGCAGAAAGCAAAUAACUCAGUGCGUCUUGCCGGGCAGCCACCGUUGUCCACACACCCUGGGGUCUGCCCAGGUGUCCACCUGCACAGCGAGGACCCGGAGGGAGCCGGGAGCUGAG